CGUCCGGAGCUAGCUGGUGGAAGAGCUGCGGACUCACACGAGGGUGGAUGCGGCCGAGAGAUUUCUACUCAAAAGUCACCGAGAGAGGUGGGUUUGGGCAAAGGCAAAAACUGACAAGAGUCUAAGAACCGCAAGAAAACAUUAUAAUAAAAGGAACCUCCCAGACUGAAGGUGUGCGAAUGUUGACUUAUUGCUUAUUGUUGGCAGAUCUCCCAGGAAGACUGAAAACUUGCUAAACUCACUGGCAUAUUUGAAUUAAAAAAAAAAAAAAGCUGACAAUGUCCAAGGUUAGACUCCAAAAGAGAAGAGGCAGCGCCAUUUGCUGCGGGCUGCUUGGUGGCGUCACGAGUCGAUUGCCCAAAGACUCUGCACAUUUUAUGACAUUCAACUCAAAUGUCUCAUUUGCUUUUAGAAGAUGGAUUCUCUCCUACUUUUCCCGAGUUGUCUUAGUGAAAUUAGAGACAGGGAUGGACCUAUCCCUGAAGGUGCUAUGAGGUGGCAUUUGAGCAAAUGGUGCUGUACUUUCUAACAUCCAGAGAUCUGGUACUAGAGCUUCACAAAAUAGACAAUUCCUUCUGGUACUAAUACUGUGCAAGAGACCGGAUGAAGACAUUUCCUGGGCCCUCCCAAGUGAAAGCUAUUCUAUUUUUUCUUGAAACACAAUAAAGAUUCCAACACAGAAACCAUGCUGCCAGGCUCCCAGUUCCACCCCUUCCUUACCUUCCUUGGUAAGUUUUGUUUCUGUAUGCAUUGCUUCUGAAGACCUGAAAUGGAGGUGAGAUUGGAACGCAGAAAA